rnacentral:rRNA from 1 species
GGGUGGUAAUGCCGGAUGCUCCAUCACACCGCAUGGUGUGUUGGGAAAGCCUUUGCGGCAUGGGAUGGGGUCGCGUCCUAUCAGCUUGAUGGCGGGGUAACGGCCCACCAUGGCUUCGACGGGUAGCCGGCCUGAGAGGGCGACCGGCCACAUUGGGACUGAGAUACGGCCCAGACUCCUACGGGAGGCAGCAGUGGGGAAUAUUGCACAAUGGGCGCAAGCCUGAUGCAGCGACGCCGCGUGAGGGAUGGAGGCCUUCGGGUUGUAAACCUCUUUUGUUAGGGAGCAAGGCAUUUUGUGUUGAGUGUACCUUUCGAAUAAGCACCGGCUAACUACGUGCCAGCAGCCGCGGUAAUACGUAGGGUGCAAGCGUUAUCCGGAAUUAUUGGGCGUAAAGGGCUCGUAGGCGGUUCGUCGCGUCCGGUGUGAAAGUCCAUCGCUUAACGGUGGAUCCGCGCCGGGUACGGGCGGGCUUGAGUGCGGUAGGGGAGACUGGAAUUCCCGGUGUAACGGUGGAAUGUGUAGAUAUCGGAAAGAACACC